GAGGUGCAGCACUUCCAGCCACUGCAGCAGGAUCCAGGCCGGGACCGCCCAGAAGAGCAGGACCGCGCCCGUGGCCGCUUGCGCAGGGCAGUUCAGAGGUUGCUGAGAUUCAUGGGUGUUCGGCGCAGAGCAGCCACGACCGCACCGCCCGAGCUCACGGCACAGCCCGACACCAGCGCAGCCGAGCUCGAG